AUGGCUGCCAAGCUGACUCGCCUCCACAGCCUCAGGGAGCGCCUUGGUGCCACCUUCUCCUCCCACCCCAAUGAGCUCAUUGCACUCUUCUCCAGGUAUGUUCACCAGGGCAAAGGCAUGCUCCAGCGCCACCAGCUGCUUGCUGAGUUUGACGAACUGUUCGAAUCCGACAAGGAGAAGUAUGCGCCCUUUGAAGACAUCCUCCGAGCUGCUCAGGAAGCAAUUGUGCUGCCCCCAUGGGUUGCACUUGCCAUCAGGCCCAGGCCUGGUGUCUGGGACUACAUUCGGGUGAAUGUUAGUGAGCUCGCUGUUGAAGAGCUCACUGUUUCUGAGUACUUGGCAUUCAAGGAACAGCUUGUCGAUGAGCAUGCCAGCAGCAAGUUUGUGCUUGAGCUUGAUUUUGAGCCUUUCAAUGCCUCCUUCCCGCGCCCUUCCAUGUCCAAGUCCAUCGGAAACGGGGUGCAGUUCCUUAACCGUCACCUGUCUUCCAAGUUGUUCCAGGACAAGGAGAGCCUCUACCCUCUGCUCAACUUCCUGAAAGCCCAUAACUACAAGGGCACGACAAUGAUGUUGAACGACAGAAUUCAGAGCCUUCGCGGUCUCCAGUCAGCCCUUAGGAAGGCAGAAGAGUAUCUAGUCAGCAUUCCUGAAGACACUCCCAGCUCUGAAUUCAACCACAGGUUCCAAGAGCUUGGCUUGGAGAAGGGUUGGGGUGACACCGCAAAGCGUGUACACGACACCAUCCAUUUGCUUCUGGACCUUCUUGAGGCCCCUGAUCCGGCCAGCUUGGAGAAGUUCCUUGGAACCAUUCCAAUGAUGUUCAAUGUUGUCAUCCUGUCUCCCCAUGGAUACUUUGCUCAAUCCAAUGUGUUGGGAUACCCUGAUACCGGUGGCCAGGUUGUGUACAUCUUGGAUCAAGUCCGUGCUUUGGAGAAUGAGAUGCUUCUGAGGAUUAAGCAGCAAGGCCUUGAUAUAACUCCCAAGAUCCUCAUUGUAACCAGGUUGUUGCCUGAUGCUGUUGGAACCACAUGUGGCCAGCGGCUGGAGAAGGUCAUUGGAACUGAGCACACUGACAUUCUCCGUGUUCCAUUCAGAACUGAGAAUGGGAUCCUUCGUAAGUGGAUCUCGCGUUUUGAUGUCUGGCCAUACCUGGAGACAUACACCGAGGAUGUUGCAAACGAACUCAUGAGAGAAAUGCAGACCAAGCCUGAUUUGAUCAUUGGCAACUACAGUGAUGGUAACCUUGUGGCCACUCUGCUUGCCCAUAAAUUGGGAGUUACCCAGUGCACCAUUGCCCAUGCCUUGGAGAAAACCAAGUACCCCAACUCAGACAUCUACUUGGACAAAUUCGACAGCCAGUAUCACUUUUCAUGCCAGUUCACAGCUGACCUGAUUGCCAUGAACCACACUGAUUUCAUCAUCACCAGCACAUUCCAGGAAAUUGCCGGAAGCAAGGAUAGCGUGGGCCAAUACGAGUCUCACAUUGCUUUCACCCUCCCUGAUCUGUACCGGGUUGUCCAUGGGAUUGACGUGUUUGAUCCUAAGUUCAACAUCGUCUCUCCUGGAGCAGACAUGACUGUCUACUUCCCAUACACUGAGACUGACAAGAGGCUCACCGCCUUCCACUCUGAAAUUGAGGAGCUCCUGUACAGCGAUGUUGAGAACGAUGAACACAAAUUUGUGUUGAAGGACAGGAACAAGCCAAUCAUCUUUUCAAUGGCUCGUCUUGACCGUGUGAAGAACAUGACUGGCUUGGUUGAGAUGUACGGCAAGAAUGCACAUCUGAAGGAUUUGGCGAACCUUGUGAUUGUUGCUGGCGACCAUGGCAAGGAGUCCAAGGAUAGGGAGGAGCAGGCUGAGUUCAAGAGGAUGUACAGUCUCAUUGAGGAGUACAAGCUGAAGGGCCAUAUCCGUUGGAUCUCUGCUCAGAUGAACCGUGUUCGCAAUGGUGAGCUGUACCGCUACAUCUGUGACACCAAGGGAGCAUUUGUGCAGCCUGCAUUCUAUGAAGCUUUUGGCCUUACUGUCAUUGAGGCCAUGACAUGUGGUCUGCCGACAAUUGCGACAUGCCACGGUGGCCCUGCUGAAAUCAUUGUGAAUGGGGUGUCUGGUGUGCACAUUGAUCCUUACCACAGUGACAAGGCCGCAGAUAUCUUGGUCAACUUCUUUGAGAAGUGCAGCGAGGAUCCAAGCUACUGGGACAAAAUGUCUGAAGGAGGCCUGAAGAGAAUUUAUGAGAAGUACACCUGGAAGCUGUACUCAGAGAGGCUGAUGACCCUGACCGGUGUGUAUGGAUUCUGGAAGUACGUGAGCAACCUAGAGAGGCGUGAGACUCGCCGUUACCUUGAGAUGUUCUACGCCCUGAAGUACCGCAGCCUGGCUGCUGCAGUUCCAUUGGCGGUUGACGGCGAGAACUCCGACAACUAG
rnacentral:rRNA from 1 species